UAAAACCCAAACUCAAGACAAGCAACUUGAUGCUGAAGGAGAAGAUGGCAACGAAGAUGAAGACGAAGAUGAUGAUGAUGGCGAUGGUGCAUUUGGAGAAGGGGAAGAUGAAUUGUCAUCUGAAGAUGGAGGUGGAUAUGGAAACAAUUCCAACAAUAAGAGCAACCCAAAGAAGGCUCCUGAAGGUGGCGCUGCUGGGGCAGAUGAAAAUGGAGAAGAGGAAGAUGAUGAAGAGGGUGACGACCAAGACGAGGACGACGAUGAGGAUGACGACGAUGAGGAAGAGGGUGGAGAAGAAGACGAGGAGGAAGCUGUUGAUGAAGAAGAGAAUGAAGAAGACGAAGAGGAUGAAGAUGAGGAAGCUUUGCAGCCACCAAAAAAAAGGAAGAAGUGAAUUUAGCUUAGUCAAGCCUCUGUAUUGUUGUGUUCGGAUUUGGCUUCUAACUUCCGUGUUGUUUUUUUUUUCAGUACUAAACUUCUAUGUUGUUAUUCACUUUAUAAGGAGGCCUAUGUAGGACUUGUUUUAAUUCAUAUUUGUGUUUACCAUUGCGUAAUUAGAAUGCUACAUUAUAUUGAGCAAGGCAGUCUUAAAUUUAC
rnacentral:lncRNA from 1 species